rnacentral:lncRNA from 1 species
GCCUGCUCAGCAGAAAUAAAUGAUCAAUUUUGCUCUGGGAUGUCAGCUUUAUGAAGUUUUUUAACUGGCUUUUUUCUCCCUCAAAGGAAGUUGGGAGAAUUAAUGUUUCUAUAAUGUUGUAGAUUUAGCAUUAGGAAGAAAGGCCUGGAAACGUUAGAAUUCAUAUAUGCUUUAAAGCAACAGACAAAACACUUUCUAUACUUAGCUACAUUUUUUAAGCUUGUGCCUUGCCUGGGGAAUCUAAUUUAUGACUUCAGACUUCCAAAAGUGGUGCCAAAGGGUGUGUACUCUGCUUCCAGUCACAAGCAAAAGUUCCAAAUGCUGAAACCAUCCCUGAGGCAGCAUUAGGCAAGGUCAGACAAAGACCUGAAGGACAGUUUCUGUCCUCAGUGCAGCAGUGAAGUGUUACUUUUUACAUGUGCAUUUCAGAGAGCGAAUCUAAAAUUCAUUCCACAAUCCAAUACUUUUUUUUUUACUAUAUAUCAAGUAAGAGGAGUAUUUGUGCUCCCUAUUAACAUUGUGGUAAUCAGAAGUUUUGUGGUAGAUUACACAACUAGUGACAUUCUGGCAUCUUGAGAUGCUUGAUUUCUUGUUGCUGAUAAGCAGGAAGAAUAAUAUGACUUUAAACUCUUUGGACUUCCCACUUUACAAGGAUCUCAAAAUACUUGAUAGCUGGUGGGGGAGAAAGAUGUGACACUACAAAGCAAUGCACAAAAACAAGAGUCAAAGUCUGCGCACCACCCACUCACCAAAAAAUAAGGAUAAGCUGUGCUCAUCUUCCCCCACCAGAACAGCUCCCUUUAAGUCCUGGAGCCUCAGCGAAGCCACCGGAACGCACCGACGUUUCGACUGUAACCCGACCUCGUUACCCCACUGGUGCCAGCCGCGGCCCGCAGCGCUCCGCUCCUCCUUACAAGCAGGAACAGCAGCGGGCUGCCAACCGCAGGGCGCGGCGCCGCAGGGAUCGCAGGGGUUGCAGCAACAGCGGCCGGCCGCGCGCGGAGCUGAAAUCCAACAAUCGAAGGUAUCUUUUUCAGGGUGA